GGAGAGGUGGCCGAGCUGGCUUAAGGCAUCCGCCUGCUAAGCGGUUGUGGGGGCUAAAACUCCCACCGAGGGUUCGAAUCCCUCCCUCUCCGCCA
rnacentral:tRNA from 1 species